rnacentral:rRNA from 1 species
UGCCCUUAUGACCUGGGCUACACACGUGCUACAAUGGACGGUACAAAGAGCUGCAAGACCGCGAGGUGGAGCUAAUCUCAUAAAACCGUUCUCAGUUCGGAUUGUAGGCUGCAACUCGCCUACAUGAAGCUGGAAUCGCUAGUAAUCGCGGAUCAGCAUGCCGCGGUGAAUACGUUCCCGGGCCUUGUACACACCGCCCCGUCACACCACGAGAGUUUGUAACACCCGAAGUCGGUGGGGUAACCUUUUUGGAGCCAGCCGCCUAAGGUGGGACAGAUGAUUGGGGUGAAGUCGUAACAAGGUAGCCGUAUCGGAAGGUGCGGUUGGAUCACCUCC